AUGCUGGCUGCUCCAGCGGAAGCUGCUGUCGUUGAAGAGCCACCAAAGGCCUCCACGCCUCCACCUCCUGCAGGUAACACCUACAUUGGUCUUGUUGGAUUCAUUUCCUCUUACUGUCCACUUCAAUCCUUUACACUGUUUGCACCUCCUUCACCUCCUUCAGUCCCCACCAGCGCUCCUCUGGACGUAUCUGUGGAGGAUGUGACCGAUUCCAGCCUCACCAUUAAAUGGAGCUCGCCGGAGACCAUCGGAGCCUCCGGCCUGGACGGAUACACCAUCGAGUACUGCAAGGAUGGAACCACAGACUGGGUUGUGGCUCAAGAGGAGCUGACCCCAACUAAUCUCUUCUGCAUGAAGAAUCUCACAGCCUAUGACCUGCUGCAUGUGCGCGUGGUGGCUGUAAACCGGGGCGGCCGCAGUGAACCUGGAACACUUGCUGAGCCUGUGCCCAUCCGGGAAAUUGGUGAGCGUCCCAGGAUCCGCAUUCCCCGCAUUCUGAAAUCCUGCUAUGUCAAGCAGGUUGGAGAGCAGAUCAAUCUGGUCAUCCCCUUUCUUGGAAAGCCCAAACCUGUGGUGUCCUGGCUGAAGGACGGGCAGCCUGUGGAUCCAAGGGUCAACAUCAGGAACAGUGACAAGGACAGCAUCAUAUUUAUCCGCCAAGCUCAGAGGGAGGACUCUGGUGUUUAUGAGAUUACCGUCAAAGUGGACAGCUUUGAGGACCAAUCCACCAUCACCCUUCAAAUUGUGGACCGGCCUGGCAGUCCUGCCAAUGUGAAGCUGGUGGACACCUGGGGCUUCAACGCUGCUCUUGAAUGGACACCUCCCAAGGAUAACGGCAACACAGAGAUCACUGGAUACACCAUCCAGAAGGCCGACAGGAAAACCGGGGAAUGGUUCUCGGUGCUGGAGCACUACCACAGGCUAACUACCACCGUCACAGAUCUCAUCAUGGGCAACGCAUACUCCUUCAGAGUGUUCGCUGAGAACCAAGUGGGCAUCAGUGAGAUGAGCACUGUCACCAAGGGGGUGGCCACCAUCCAGAAGACAGGUAUCGUCUACACGCCUCCCGAGUACCCGGAGCGUGACUACAGCGAGGCACCCAGGUUCACAACACCCCUCAUUAACCGCGCUGCCACUGUGGGAUACACCACCAAGCUGCUGUGCUCUGUCCGUGGAAGCCCCAAGCCUAAGAUCGAGUGGUUGAAGAAUCAGGUGAUCAUUGGAAACGAUCCCAAGUUUCGUCAGAACUCGACCCAGGGCAUUUGCUCCCUCGAGAUCCGUAAGCCCUGCUGCUUCGAUGGCGGUGUGUACACCUGCAGAGCCAAGAACGAGCAGGGGGAGGCCGUGGUCUCCUGCAAGUUGGAGGUCAAACAGGUUAUUCUUUCAGAGGCUGACAAGGAGAAGAGCAAAUAAAUCAACCCCCAACUCUAGAGUGAGAGAUCCAGGUCUUGUGUUUUAAGGUAAGUUUGCUUGUGUGUGUGUGUUUGUGGCCAGCAUGUUUUACCAAUCUUGUGGGGACAUGAAUCUGUUGACACAGUCAUAUUGUGGGAACAAAAUGCAGGUCCCCAAAACACAAGUCAUUACAUUUUAGGGUGAAGACUCGAUUUAAGGUUCAUUUAUAAUUUAAGUUUAGGUUCAGUGUAGGGUUGGGAUUAGGCUGGUAGCUGUUACGGUAAGGGUGAGUCUCCAGGAAAUUAAUGUAAGUCAAUGAAAAGUCCCCAAAAGUCGUGUGUGUGUGUGUGUGUAUGUGUGUGUGUGUGUGUGUGUGUGUGGGGGGGGGGGGGGGGGGAAUGAGUGUGUGUGGUAUAAUGAUGAAUCCUUCAAACCCUUUCUAUGUGUGUCUCUCUUAUCUUGUCCAGAGUGAUUGAAGAGGAGAGAGAAAGGAUCAUUGCAGUCUGUGCAGCAGUGUGUACAUAAUGAAGAAAGGGAAAGAACAACAAACCAACAUCUCAAAAUCGAUUUCCAUCCCGACUCACCCACUCCUCCCAGUAUGCAGGGAAGACCCACGCCUCCCAAACCACCCCAGUUUGUCUAAUGUUGUAUGUUAUUUGUGUUGAUGACAUGUAUGUAAGGAUAUAUUUACAAUGUUUUCUGACUGCCUGUGUCUGUAUGUUGUUUGUUACAAUGUAUUUAUAUGUACUACUCAAUAAAACAAUGACGCCUUGGACA
rnacentral:lncRNA from 1 species